GGAGAGGUGCCAGAGUGGCCGAAUGGGGCUCCCUGCUAAGGAGUUGUCCGGCUAAAACCGGACCGGAGGUUCGAAUCCUCUCCUCUCCG
rnacentral:tRNA from 1 species